AUUGAACGCUGGCGGAAUGCUUUACACAUGCAAGUCGAGCGGCAGCGCGGCCUUCGGGCUGGCGGCGAGCGGCGAACGGGUGAGUAAUGCAUCGGAACAUGCCCAGUCGUGGGGGAUAACACUUCGAAAGAAGUGCUAAUACCGCAUACGGCCUGAGGGGGAAAGCGGGGGAUCGCAAGACCUCGCGCGAUUGGAGUGGCCGAUGUCAGAUUAGCUAGUUGGUGGGGUAAAGGCCUACCAAGGCGACGAUCUGUAGCUGGUCUGAGAGGAUGAUCAGCCACACUGGGACUGAGACACGGCCCAGACUCCUACGGGAGGCAGCAGUGGGGAAUUUUGGACAAUGGGGGCAACCCUGAUCCAGCCAUUCCGCGUGAGUGAAGAAGGCCUUCGGGUUGUAAAGCUCUUUCGGCAGGAACGAAACGGUGGGCUCUAACAUAGUCCGCUAAUGACGGUACCUGAAGAAGAAGCACCGGCUAACUACGUG
rnacentral:rRNA from 1 species